CACUGUAAAAAUCGGAAGGAAAAAUAGAUAUUAAGUCAGUCCAAGCAUUUCAAUUACGUUCCCUUUUAGUAGAGAGACGAAGUGAAAAAAGUAUAUUAAGUAUUCAAGGCCGAUAAUCUGUAAAAGAAUUAGAGAUGCCGAUCACAAAAGUUCAAUAGCGCUUAAGCUUUUUUACAGGCAUUUGAGAAACUGGUACUGCAAUGCAUACAAUUUUACGACCUUUUUAUGAUGCGCCCAUAAAACCAAUAUUUUCAUACAUGUCGGUGGAUCCGUCCCAGUCACGUAGGCCAUCCAAAAGUAAACUGACCCACCCCGCCGAUUGUCCCAGACUAUCACGAAAUUCUGGAUAAGCAAAGCAAAACUACACAUUUCGAAAAAAACACACAGGCUAAAUUAAAGCAUAAAGUCAAAUCGUUGUUGCAAAAAUAAAAAUAUUUUUAGGAAUCCCGCAAUGGGAAAGGAAAGAACUUUGAGCACCCAACGCAAGAAAUCAAGUUCGGUCUCACCAAUGUAUUAAUAUACGAAUUCCAAAUCAAUAUAUGUCUAAAGCUUAA